UAGACAGAGGCCUGUUGGUUUAGGCAUCUAGCUGUUAAUUAGAGGUUUUUGUGGGAUCGAAGCCCGCCUGUCUAG
rnacentral:tRNA from 1 species